rnacentral:rRNA from 1 species
CAGUAGCCGCGGUAAUACGUAGGGUGCAAGCGUUAAUCGGAAUUACUGGGCGUAAAGCGUGCGCAGGCGGUUAUAUAAGAAAGAUGUGAAAUCCCCGGGCUCAACCUGGGAACUGCAUUUGUGACUGUAUAGCUAGAGUACGGCAGAGGGGGAUGGAAUUCCGCGUGUAGCAGUGAAAUGCGUAGAUAUGCGGAGGAACACCGAUGGCGAAGGCAAUCCCCUGGGCCUGUACUGACGCUCAUGCACGAAAGCGUGGGGAGCAAACAGGAUUAGAUACCCCUGUAGUCCCUGUCUCUUAUAC